AACGAACGCUGGCGGCAGGCUUAACACAUGCAAGUCGAGCGCCCCGCAAGGGGAGCGGCAGACGGGUGAGUAACGCGUGGGAACGUACCCUUCUCUACGGAAUAACACAGAGAAAUUUGUGCUAAUACCGUAUACGCCCUUCGGGGGAAAGAUUUAUCGGAGAAGGAUCGGCCCGCGUAGGAUUAGCUAGUUGGUGUGGUAACGGCGCACCAAGGCGACGAUCCUUAGCUGGUCUGAGAGGAUGACCAGCCACACUGGGACUGAGACACGGCCCAGACUCCUACGGGAGGCAGCAGUGGGGAAUAUUGGACAAUGGGCGCAAGCCUGAUCCAGCCAUGCCGCGUGAGUGAUGAAGGCCUUAGGGUUGUAAAGCUCUUUCACCCACGACGAUAAUGACGGUAGUGGGAGAAGAAGCCCCGGCUAACUUCGUGCCAGCCGCCGCUGUAAAAC
rnacentral:rRNA from 1 species